GACGAACGCUGGCGGCGUGCUUAACACAUGCAAGUCGAACGGAAAGGCCCUGCUUUUGUGGGGUGCUCGAGUGGCGAACGGGUGAGUAACACGUGAGUAACCUGCCCAUGACUGUGGGAUAACUUCAGGAAACUGGGGCUAAUACCGGAUAGGAGCUCCUGCUGCAUGGUGGGGGUUGGAAAGUUUCGGCGGUUGGGGAUGGACUCGCGGCUUAUCAGCUUGUUGGUGGGGUAGUGGCUUACCAAGGCUUUGACGGGUAGCCGGCCUGAGAGGGUGACCGGCCACAUUGGGACUGCGAUACGGCCCAGACUCCUACGGGAGGCAGCAGUGGGGAAUAUUGCACAAUGGGCGGAAGCCUGAUGCAGCAACGCCGCGUGCGGGAUGACGGCCUUCGGGUUGUAAACCGCUUUCGCCUGUGACGAAGCGUGAGUGACGGUAAUGGGUAAAGAAGCACCGGCUAACUACGUG
rnacentral:rRNA from 1 species